UUUAAAACUGAAGAUAUGGAGGGGUUAUUUUUUCCAAUGUGGCUAAAACUAAAAUAUAUAGGAUAGAACAGUAUCGUUGAUUGUAAAGAUUAAGAUAAAGUAUCUACUUGAAGCAUGUGAGAAGCGAAUACAUGACCAAAAAACAUACAAAAUUUUGAAGACCAAAUACUAAUAGACAGCGUCAUAAUAAGACACAUUUUGUGAUGCUUAGCAUUAAACAGUGACAAAACUAGUGCCAAAGAGAAAUUUAAGUGUAAAUUAUUUCUUCGUUUCAUAAAACAUUUAAAUACCACGAGGGUAUUUGAGGAAAAGUCGUCGCCAUUUUGAUUGUACACAGCAGUAGUUUACGAAUAUUUCAAAGGCAAUCAUGUAAAUACAGAGUACAAAAUAAAAUGCAACAAAUGAUUUCCAUGAUGUAUGAUGUAAACCGUAAUUGUUCUGACCAUUUGAGUGACUUGCCAAUGCUUGAUGUGCCUAAAUAUCGAAAUAGUAUGUGACAUACGUUUAAUGUUUACAUUCUCAAUCCUUUAUCAGGAAGUAUGAGCCUAAUAACAUCAUCGCGAUUCAUACGCCAAAUGCAUUUGACGCAAAUAAGGUGAAAAGUGUAAUCAUAUACAUGCAGAAUAAUAUGUAUUUGAAGUACCUAUAGUUUUCAGUCGAUAAACACAUUGUACGAAAUAUAUGGAAAAAUUAAUAAAAAAUGAAUUUAGGAAUUAUUUUGCGUGUAUGUAGUCUCCGGAAAGGUUGUGAGGUUUAUUGGGGAAACUUGUUUUUGUCCAUUUUAUUAUAGAGCAGAACUUUACCGAGUAAUUUCGUAAUGAUUAUUGCCGGUGUUUUGCACGAUUAUGAAUGAUGAAUUGUAAAAUAUAGUAGGAAGAAGCCGGUUGAAGACGUUAUGACUCUUUAUGAAUACAUUUUUUUUCCAAAAAUACUGUACUGAAUGAUUCGAAAAAAUAUUAAAUACAUUGUCUUCUGUACGGUCACAACGGUGGUGACGGUGCUGACUUGAGGAAUGUGUUCCGCUUGUAAAGCGCCGUUAAUCAAACAUGCCAUCUUUAAAAUAAAUAUGGCGAGCGUUCCAGAAUUGCAACUUUAGAAGUUUUUAUUCGCGUGAUGCAUGUAGAGAAAUUUCCAAAGAGAAGAAACAGUGCAAGUUCAGUUACACAUGUGGCUAUAACUUCUGGCAAGGAUACAUCUGCAGUUUCCGGUACAUCUUCUAUGCAUACAAUUAGUAAAAGGCCAAGACAAUUAAAAUUUCUUGGAAGAAGAAUAAAUCACCAGUGGAAAUUGGAUGACGGUACAUUGAAAUGGUAUAUGGGCACAGUACUUUCCACAACAAAGGGCAAAGAUGGUCAUCCACAUACAGUGUACCAAGUGUUAUAUGAUGGGGAAGACAAGGCAUAUGAUGUUGAGGACCUUCAAAAUGAUUAUGUUGACGGUUCUUUGAAAUUUAAUGAUUUAUAAGAAAAAUAUUGCUCAGUUGCACUAGUGUAGACUAUAUCCUGACAUUUCCCAUUCAUGAAGUUUCUUUAUCUGGUGAACUAGGAAUUUAUCUUGUCUUCAAAAAUUGGCUACAUUACAGGUAAUUGUUUUCCUUUUUAUAAUUCUCACUUAUUACUGUAUUAUUGCUUUUUGCAUAGGUAGUAACGUGCCUUUUCAAAUGUUAUAUCAUUUUAUAUUCUAUGCACCACAUUUACAAAGAGUUGGUGUAUUUUCUUUUCGCACCCACAUUCUGCAUAACUGUCAUGGCCGACAAGUCGG
rnacentral:lncRNA from 1 species